rnacentral:rRNA from 1 species
AUCUUUUUGUGAACCAGUGUAGGCUUUGGGACCUUUGUUCGGUGGAAACGCCGUUCGUAAGGAACCAAGUCUAUGAUUUAUAUAAACCUUUGUAUGUUUUUGAAUGUCCUUUAUUGGCCGCAAGGCUAGUAAAUCUAUACAACUUUCAGCAACGGAUCUCUUGGCUCUCCCAUCGAUGAAGAACGCAGCGAAAUGCGAUAAGUAAUGUGAAUUGCAGAAUUCAGUGAAUCAUCGAAUCUUUGAACGCACCUUGCGCCCUCUGGUAUUCCGGAGGGCAUGCUUGUUUGAGUGUCAUUAAAUUCUCAAAGUCAGCCUGCUUUGUUGUCGGCUUUCUUUGGAUGUGAGGGUUUGCUGGCUGUCGGGUCUGCUCCCUUUAAAUGCAUUAGUGGAAUCCUUUGUGGACGGUCACUUGGUGUGAUAAUCUAUCUACGCCGCUUGAUUCAGAAGCAAAACCUAUGGGACUCUGCUCAUAACCGUCCUUCGGGACAAAUACCUUUUGACAUUUGACCUCAAAUCAAGUAGGACUACCCGCUGAACUUAAGCAUAUCAAUAAGCGGAGGAAAAGAAACUAACAAGGAUUCCCCUAGUAACUGCGAGUGAAGCGGGAAAAGCUCAAAUUUAAAAUCUGGCGGUUUCACCGUCCGAGUUGUAAUUUAGAGAAGUGUUACCCGUG